rnacentral:misc_RNA from 1 species
UGUUGCCUUGCUUGCCAUUGGGUAGAAGGAUUUGAAGUUGUGAAUUUUCAAUUUGAUAAUUUAUGGGUUCUCUUUGAUUGAUUAAAUUUAUGAAUCUAAGUUCAGAAUGUGAAUAAAAACUUCUUUUUGAAUGUGGAUUUGGCAUACUUAGAAAUGGUUCAUUUCAAGUCUACCUCAAAUAAGUUCAAACAUAUUUAUGAAUAUAAUUAUCAUCCAUGAAUAUAAUUAUCAUCCAUGAAUAUAAUUAUCAUCC